UACGAAGGGGGCUAGCGUUGUUCGGAAUUACUGGGCGUAAAGCGCGUGUAGGCGGGUCUUUAAGUCAGGGGUGAAAUGCCAAGGCUCAACCUUGGAACUGCCUUUGAUACUGGAGAUCUUGAGUCCGGGAGAGGUGAGUGGAACUGCGAGUGUAGAGGUGAAAUUCGUAGAUAUUCGCAAGAACACCAGUGGCGAAGGCGGCUCACUGGCCCGGUACUGACGCUGAGGUGCGAAAGCGUGGGGAGCAAACGGG
rnacentral:rRNA from 1 species